rnacentral:rRNA from 1 species
AUGAAUGCUGGCGGCGUGCCUAACACAUGCAAGUCGAGCGGCAGCGAGGGGUGCUUGCACCCUGUCGGCGAGCGGCGAACGGCUGAGUAACGCGUAGGAAUUUGUCCCAAAGUGAGGAAUAACUGCCCGAAAGGGUAGCUAAUGCCGCAUAUGGUCUUCGGAUUAAAGGAUUUAUCCGCUUUGGGAGAAGCCUGCGUUGGAUUAGGUUGUUGGUAGGGUAAUGGCCUACCAAGCCGACGAUCCAUAGCUGGUCUGAGAGGAUGAUCAGCCAGACUGGAACUGAGACACGGUCCAGACUCCUACGGGAAGCAGCAGUGAGGAAUCUUCCACAAUGGGCGAAAGCCUGAUGGAGCAACGCCGCGUGAAGGAUGAAGGCCUUCGGGUUGUAAACUUCUUUUAUGAGUGAAGAAUAUGACGGUAACUCAUGAAUAAGCACCGGCUAACUACGUG